rnacentral:rRNA from 1 species
GGACGAACGCUGGCGGCGUGCCUAACACAUGCAAGUCGAACGCGAUCUUCGGAGUAGUUUACUACACCGAAGUGAAAGUGGCGGACGGGUGAGUAACGCGUGGGUAACCUGGCCUAUGGAAGGGGAUAGCCUCGGGAAACCGGGAUUAAUACCGUAUGUAGUUGGAAGAUCGCAUGAUCUACCAAUGAAAGAUUUAUCGCCAUAGGAUGGACCCGCGUCCCAUUAGCUAGUUGGUGAGAUAACAGCUCACCAAGGCGACGAUGGGUAGCCGGCCUGAGAGGGCGAACGGCCACACUGGGACUGAGACACGGCCCAGACUCCUACGGGAGGCAGCAGUGGGGAAUAUUGG